rnacentral:lncRNA from 1 species
AAUGCAUGUUUCCGUUUCAUGUGUUAAAUACGGGAUCCAAGAUGUUUUUUUUCGCUUGUUUAAAUUGAGCCUAUCCAACGUGUUUAACCAGCCAACGUGUUUAACCAACGUGUUAAACCAACAUGUUUAACCAACGUGUUUAACCAACCAACCAACCAACCAACCAAUCAAUCACUUAAUGUAUGUUUCCGUGUCAUGCGUUUAAUACGGGAUGCAAGGUCUCUUGAGGUCUUUUUCCCCUUGUUCUAAGUGACCCUAUCAAACGUGUUUAAUCAACCAACCAACCAACCAACCAACCAACCAAUCAAUCAACCAACUAAUCAAUCAAUCAAUAUGUAUGACUGUUUAUUUAUGACAGUUUAUUGAAGGAAC